rnacentral:rRNA from 1 species
CUACGUGCCAGCAGCCGCGGUAAUACGGAAGGUCCGGGCGUUAUCCGGAUUUAUUGGGUUUAAAGGGAGCGUAGGCCGGAGAUUAAGUGUGUUGUGAAAUGUAGACGCUCAACGUCUGACUUGCAGCGCAUACUGGUUUCCUUGAGUACGCACAACGUUGGCGGAAUUCGUCGUGUAGCGGUGAAAUGCUUAGAUAUGACGAAGAACUCCGAUUGCGAAGGCAGCUGACGGGAGCGCAACUGACGCUGAAGCUCGAAGGUGCGGGUAUCGAACAGGAUUAGAUACCCUGGUAGUCCGCACAGUAAACGAUGGAUGCCCGCUGUUGGUACCUAGUAUCAGCGGCUAAGCGAAAGCAUUAAGCAUCCCACCUGGGGAGUACGCCGGCAACGGUGAAACUCAAAGGAAUUGACGGGGGCCCGCACAAGCGGAGGAACAUGUGGUUUAAUUCGAUGAUACGCGAGGAACCUUACCCGGGCUUGAA